rnacentral:rRNA from 1 species
AUGUUACUAGACCAUGACAAACCUACGAACUAUGAAGAAGCGAUGGUGAGCCCAGAUUCCGCAAAAUGGCUUGAGGCCAUGAGAUCUGAGAUAAGAUCUAUGUAUGAAAACAAAGUAUGGACUUUGAUUGACUUGCCCAAUGAUCGGCGAGACAUUGAGAUUAAAUGGAUCUUCAAGAGGAAGACGGACGCUGAUAGUGUUACUAUCUACAAAGCUAGAAUUGUCGCAAAAGGUUUUCGACAAGUUCAAGGUAUUGACUACGAUGAGAGUUUUUCACUCGUAUCUAUGCUUAAGUCUGUCUGA